rnacentral:rRNA from 1 species
GAUCAGCCACACUGGGACUGACACGGACCAGACUCCUACGGGAGGCAGCAGUAAGGAAUAUUGGUCAAUGGGCGCAAGCCUGAACCAGCCAUGCCGCGUGCAGGAAGACGGCCCUAUGGGUUGUAAACUGCCUUUGUCAGGGAAUAAACCCCCGCUCGUGAGCGGGGCUGAAGGUACCUGAAGAAUAAGCAUCGGCUAACUCCGUGCCAGCAGCCGCGGUAAUACGGAGGAUGCAAGCGUUAUCCGGAUUCAUUGGGUUUAAAGGGUGCGCAGGCGGAUUGGUAAGUCAGGGGUGAAAUCCCACAGCUCAACUGUGGAACUGCCUUUGAUACUGUCAGUCUAGAGUAUAGUUGAAGUUGGCGGAAUGUGUCAUGUAGCGGUGAAAUGCUUAGAUAUGACACAGAACACCGAUCGCGAAGGCAGCUAGCUAAGCUAUAACUGACGCUCAUGCACGAAAGCGUGGGGAUCAAACAAGAUUAGAUACCCUGGUAGUCCACGCUGUAAACGAUGAUUACUCGAUGUUGGCGAUACGCAGUCAGCGUCUGAGCGAAAGCAAUAAGUAAUCCACCUGGGGAGUACGAUCGCAAGAUUGAAACUCAAAGGAAUUGACGGGGGCCCGCACAAGCGGAGGAGCAUGUGGUUUAAUUCGAUGAUACGCGAGGAACCUUACCUGGGCUCGAACGUAAGAUGACUGUAGGUGAAAGCUUACAUCUCUUCGGAGCAUUUUACGAGGUGCUGCAUGGUUGUCGUCAGCUCGUGCCGUGAGGUGUCGGGUUAAGUCCCAUAACGAGCGCAACCCCUACCUUUAGUUGCCAUCAGUCAUGCUGGGGACUCUAAAGAUACUGCCCC